UACGUAGGGGGCUAGCGUUGUUCGGAAUUACUGGGCGUAAAGCGCGUGUAGGUGGUUGUCCAAGUUGGAUGUGAAAGCCUUGAGCUCAACUCAAGAAAUGCAUUCAGGACUGGAUGGCUAGAGGACCGGAGAGGAUAGUGGAAUUCCCAGUGUAGUGGUGAAAUACGUAGAGAUUGGGAAGAACACCAGUGGCGAAGGCGGCUAUCUGGACGGUUUCUGACACUAAGACUCGAAAGCGUGGGGAGCAAACAGG
rnacentral:rRNA from 1 species